rfam:Oryza punctata chromosome 8, whole genome shotgun sequence.
UUUAAGUGCAACCAUAAGUUUCCGUGUCCAACUUUGAUCGUCCGUCUUGUUUAAAAUUUUUUUAUGAUUAGUAUUUUUGUUGUUAUUAGAUGAUAAAACAUGAAUAAUACUUUAUGCGUGACUUAUGUUUUUUAAAAUUUUUAAAUUUUUUUUCAAAUAAGAUGAACAAUUAAAGUUGGACACAGAAACUUAUGACUGCGCUUAAA